GGGUCUAAAUUAACAACCCAUUCUCACUCCAAAGGCGUCAAAAACCGAAGCAUGGUCAAGCGCCCCUAGCGUCACUUUUAUGACGCCAAAUGUGCCUCUCGGCGUCGACUAUCGAAGCACUACGACCUUCAUUGCUUUCAGUGGGAAACUUUUGGCGUCAGAAUUCGACACGAGGACAGGAGAUGUUUAUCGCUAUGAAAUCACGUUCAAGAAGUCUCAUUCAGCACACAUCGCGCGAUACUUGCUAUCAGUUCCACAGUUUGGCUGAAAAGACGUAAAGGCAGUCAGCCCAGUGGUGUUUCUGGAGAGGGAUUCCUUCAGAAAUGGAGAAGACAGAAAGCUGCGGAGGCAGAUAUUUGCAGCAGAUUGUUUGAGGAUAACACUGCAGUUCUCCAUCACGCACAAGGACUCACCUCGUUAACUCUUUAUCCCCCACACACACAGAUAUGGUCCCUGGAUCAGUGAUUAGACUUUGCAGUGGUUAGAUUUUUGCAGAAGAUGUAACUUUGUUUUAUUUAUAAGCUCAUAAUGAAUACAUUACAGAACCAGUGAUGAAAACAAUAGUUAAAAAUAGUAUGUUUCGUAUUGAUAAAGCAUUUUGUUCUCUUUUUCAAGCUUCAUACAGUGAACUUUUUAGACUUUAAUUAAGAGUUUUAGUAAAGGAGAUAUUCAUACACAGUCAUCCCCUAGCUCCAGUCAUGAAGUGAAUUCAUGAUGUUAUUGUCAAAGCUAGCAGGUGUUUGUUUUCCUGAACACUUUCUCUGUCUUCCAUUGUUCAGACAAUCAGUGUUUAUUUGAUGCUGUGCUGAUUGAGUUUUAUAGAUGAUAUUGCACACUUGACAUGCAUGUCUUCAUGGUGUUUUUUUGUGAGUUUGAAACAUUUACAUUGUGUUGUAUAACAUUUUGGUCAAUUUAAUUUUUUUAAUAAAAUUGAUCUUUUUCCAGUGUUCUCUGAAAGACAUACUGUAUUUACUGUUUUGUUUUUUAAUAAAAGCAUUUUCAUUUGCAUACUGAAAAUAGUUAAUGUUUACAACAUAACUGCCUUUUUAUUCUUUAUGGUGGCAAAAACGAGCUUGGUGACAGAGGAUGCAGUGUAGUAAUUUGGGCAUGUUGUCUUUAAAUGAGUUUGACAUAUCAAUAAAUAAUGGAAGAUCCUUACAAAAA